AGCGAAUGCUCAGUGCGUUCGUACGUACGUAGACCAUGACCGGGCAGACGCAGUUUCAGCACCAGUGUCCAGAGUUACUAUAUCCAGUUUUCAAGUAAGAAGUAUGAGACUUGGAAAGAAACAGGGAUGUUAGUGAGAAGAGCACGAUGAUGUCACAUUUUUGCAAACCUCUUUGACGCCUGGCUUUAUAGGAGUGAGCUGGAAAUUCAAGAGCUUGUGCUCCAUCCAAUGUCAAGGUGUCUCUUUAAAUCUCCAUUCUUCCCUCAGGAGCUGAGGAGUGUGAGAAACACAGCUCCUGGGCAGGAAAAGAACAUACUCUCUGCCCCUUCUACUGCUGGCAUUGUCACCAACAGCAAGUUUACCCAACUGAACUGGAUGGAGUGACAUCUGGAGAUGGCAGGGACAGUAGCUGCUUUUAGGGCAAAGGUCAUCCACCAACUUUAUCCUCAGGCCCACACCCUUUCCAGGACCUUCCAUGGUCUCCACUCAGGGCUGUUUCUACAAUGACUAGAAGCUCAGCCCUCUUCCAUGAGUUGGAAGAAAUCCUCAUGGUGACCCAUGUGCAGCUACAUCACCUCUUUCAGAGACAGCAUCAGGACCAAGGAACUCACUGUGAAAGCUGGUGGGAGUUUGGACAAGCCCCCAGGAUGGUGGAGAAACACUUCCUCUGAGACCCUUCCUGUCUGUGCUGGGAGGGUUUGCAGCAGGCUCAAAGUCUCUGUGCUCAAUGCAGUGGAGAUUGUGCUGUGCGAGGAAGUGGACUCAAGUACGGGAGAGGGUGAAGACAGGCAUGGGCAGCUGGACAGAGCUCUCCCUGGACACCUUAGGACCAGCUGGCACUAGGCAUCUAGACCAGCGGUUCUCAACCUGUGGGUCGCAACCCACAGGAACUAUAUUAAAGGGCCACAGCAUUAGGAAGUUUGAGAACCACUGAUCUAGACAGAGCCUUCUGCCUGGUCACCUGACGACCUGCUGGAGAGGAUCCUGCAUGAGACUCAGUUAAAAUGAGGGGAGAGGAGUCAGUCACCUCACAAGGAGCAGCGGGUGCUGGGGACACCAGCCUGUCUUGGUAAAGCCCUGGAUCUGAACCACCCUCACUACCUUGGGGCUCAACUCUUCCCCCUAACCUGCUUCCUCUGGUGAAGCCCAGAGCAGUUCACUGUGGCCUUCACGUUUUCUCCCCACAUGGGCCGGC